UCCCUGAUCUUGUCUCCCUGAGGUG
rnacentral:misc_RNA from 1 species